rnacentral:lncRNA from 10 species
AUUCUCCUGCCUCAGCGUCUGCCUCAGCGUCUGCCUCAGCCUCCCGAGUAGCUGGGACUACAGGCAGCCGCCGCUACGCCCCGCUAAUUUUUUGUAAUUUUUAGUAGAGACGGGGUUUCACUGUGUUGGCCAGGAUGAUCUCAAUCUCCUGUGUCUUUAACUCUUCUUAAUUCCCCACUGAUGACGAAAAUGAUAGAAAGCAAUAAACCAGAUUUGAAAUUCAGAGUGAAACAUCUAAGAUCGUCUGCAGUGCAGUGGCACGCUCUCUGCAACCUCUGUCUCCCGGGUUCAAACCAUUCUCCUGCCUCAAUCUCCAGAGUGGCUGAUAUUACAGGAUUCCACCACCAAACCCAGGUUUAUAUGUGCAACUUGACAUUCCAAACAAAUACUUCAAGUCAAAAUAUUCCAAGCCGAAAUUCCUUCCAAACAUGCAUUUCAGCCUGGUUAUCUCUUGAGAGUUCAGAGCCUCAUGAAGAAAAAUGAGAAGCAUAUAAAGUCGUGGAGAAACAGAGUAAAAUCUUUCAUCCUCAAACAGUUUAUUUUCUCCUACCAGACUUCAAUGCAUGCUUUUCAGUUUGAGCUGAUGGGAAAAGCUUUCCGUUGGAUAUGAUUAUUGCAUGAGAGUAGACAUUAUAAUAGUUUAAAUGAACUUGCGAUUGAGGCUGAAAUUCUUGGAAGCCAUUCUGUUACUUAAAAGAGUGGAAUGAUUUAUGAAUUCCAUCGACUGUCAAAGAGAAAAGUGGCUCAGAGGGUGGGUUUAAAGCAAAGGUGUAUUCCUCAUCGGUUGUAUGGUUUCCUUUAACAAUUCAUCAUAUUAAGCCAUGGUGUCUUGAAGUCCUUGUUUUUCUUUUAAAUGUCAUUGAUUUUGUUUUGUUUCCUUGUUAAUUUGGCUGUCUAUGGUUUCUGUGAAAAACAAAGAAGCUUUACUAAAGACAGAGAUAUGGAACAAAAGUAAGGCAAAAUGCAGUAUAUUUUGCCUACUCUGUUGGCAACCAUAUAAUGGAAAUUUUGGAAUUUGGCAAAGCAUACUCUUUACAUAAUCUAACAAUAACCCAGUGAUUAUCUCAAGAAAUCACUACUAAUGGAGUUCAGAAAAAAAGCAG